CCUCUGCCUCCCGGGUUCAAGUGAUUCUCCUGCCUCAGCCUCCUGAGUAGCUGGAACUACAGGUGCUGCCACCACAGCUGGCUAAUUUUUGUAAUUUUUGUAGAGACGGGGUUUCACCAUGUUGGCCAGGCUGGUGUCGAACUCCUGACUUCAAGAGAUCCACUUGCCUCCGCCUGCCAGAGUGCUGGAAUUACAGGAUUAGCAGUCGCCACAGCCCCCAUCACAAUCCUCCUUGGAGACACGCAAGAUCCAAGCGAAUGAAAGCACCACCCCAGAGAUGGGGUCUUGCUAUGUUGCCCAGGCUGGUCUCGAACGCCUGACCUCAGGUGAUCCACCUGCCUCAGCCUCCCAAAGUGAUGGGAUGACACGCGUGACCCACGGUGUCUGGGAAACGCAGGGCGUUCUGGAUUCGGAAAGGAUCAAGCGCAGAUGCCCCGGGCCCCGGCGCCCGUAUUGAGCUUUGUGGCUGGCUGAAACUCACCCCAUAUUCAAGCCACUAGUAAGAAGAAUCGGGGCCGGGCGCAGUGGCUCACGCCUGUAAUCCCAGCACUUUGGGAGGCCGAGGCUGGUGGAUCACGAGGUCAAGAGAUCGAGACCAUCCUGGUCAACAUGGUGAAACCCCGUCUCUACUAAAAUUACAAAAAAUUAACUGGGCAUGGUGGCGAGUGCCUGUAAUCCCAGCUACUCAGGAGACUGAGGCAGGAGAAUUGCCUGAACCCAGGAGGCGGAGGUUGUGGUGAGCCGAGAUUGCGUCAUUGCACUCCAGCCUGGGUAACAAGUGAAACUCCGCCUCAAAAAAAAAAAAAAAAAAGAAGAAGAAGAAGAAGAAGGAGAAGAAGAAGAAUCGGGAGCUUCACUGGCUCAGGCCUGCUGUUCGGGUGCAUAAGGUUAGGCUAGGAGUUCAAGGCCAGCCUGGGCAACAUAGAAACCUCCCAUUCAGCCAGGUGCGGUGGCUCACACCUGUAAUCCCAGUGCUUUGGGAGGCCAAGACGGGUGGAUCAUGAGGUCAGGAGAUCAAGACCAUCCUCGCCAACAUGGUGAAACCCUGUGUCUACUAAAAUUCGCAAAAAUUACUCAGCCAUGGUGGCAGGUGCCUGUAGUCCCAGCUACUCAGGAGGCUGAGGUAGGAGAAUCUCUUGAACCUGGGAGGUGGUGGUUGCAGUGAGCCAAGACCUGUACUCCAGCCUGGGCAACAGAGCGAGACUCCGUGUAAUAAAAAGAAAAAAAAAAAGCCUAAUUCAUGACUUAGACUCUGGACUCAACAUGUCUGUCCUCGAAUCUUUGCCACCAUUGUGGGAACCACUCAGCUUCCUGCACGGGGGUUGGCUGAAGCUCUACAUGCAACGUCUCAGCCAGGCUCCCCAGGAGGGACCUGCAGACACUGCUCUUGCUGACAAAUGCCGCAUAAAACAAUCCAUUAACCACAUGUGGUUCUUCUGCAGGGAAAGGCGACAGCAACGUGUGAACCAAACCCAGAAAAAGAAACUUUUUUUUGAGACAGAGUCUCCCUCUUUUCACCCAGGCUGUAGUGCAGUGGUGCGAUCUCAGCUCACCACAACCUCCUCCUCCCUGGUUCAAGUGAUUCUCCCACCUC